rnacentral:lncRNA from 1 species
GACUAGAUCUUCUGAAUGAAAGAUCUUCAGCUUAACUUUUACAUUAUAAUACCGAACUACUCUUUACCGAUAUGCUGCUAUCCGAACUUGAGCUUGCUGUCAGACUUCUAGAAGUAAGUCUAAAUCAGCUCUCUGAUAUUAUGAAUUGCUCGGCUCAUUGUAUUAUUCUACCCUUACUGAUGGUAAUCCGAUCUCAAGUGGAAUUAUCACUUUUGUUCCAUAGAUCAGGUUGAAUGGUGAUUCUUCUGUCGAUAUGCGAGGAGUUGUUUGAUAUGCCCAU